rnacentral:rRNA from 1 species
GUCCACGCUGUAAACGAUGAGUGCUAAUUCUGGGAAUUUAUUUCUGGGGUAAAGCUAACGCGUUAAGCACUCCGCCUGAGUAGUACGAUCGCAAGAUUAAAACUCAAAGGAAUUGACGGGGGCCCGUACAAGCGGUGGAGCAUGUGGUUUAAUUCGAUGAUAACCGAAGAACCUUACCAGCCCUUGACAUGUACAUUGGGACUACACGAAAGUGGGUUUUCAUUUAGUUGGGUGUACACAGGUGUUGCAUGGCUGUCGU